rnacentral:lncRNA from 1 species
UCCAUUUACAACUUGGUUCCGGAUGCUAAUGAAUCCAAAUUUUUCUCUGUUUCAGGUCAACUAUUCAGAAAACCAGCGGCAUGCUACUUGAAAACAGAAUAUGGUAGCUGCACGUCAAAUAUUACACGAUAUUUCUACAACAAAGGAGUCGAUGCUUGCAGACGUUUCGUCUAUAGCGGUUGUGGGGGAAAUGGAAACAAUUUUUUGUCGCGCACCCUAUGCAGGCUUCGAUGUGAAAAUUACAAUCCUGAGAGGGACUUGUGUAUACGGCCACCGUGGGGCACUUAUUGUGAAUUUGGGAAUGAGUAUGACUUGAUGUGGUUCUUCGAUACCCAUACAUUGACUUGUCAGCAAUUUAAACACGGACCUUGCGCCGUACGCAUGAAUGCAUUUCAGACAUGUGAAAAAUGCAAAGAGAGGUGCCAGCACCACAUGACAAAGCUUCAAGUGUGCCGAGAAUAGUUCAGUACUUUUGGUUUCAUUACAACGGUUUAUGAACAAGCACCGAA